GGCCACUUCUGCCAACAGCCAUUGAGGUGAUUCCAGCUUGGUUUCUUACAGACCAUUUCUGCCUUGGUGUGCUCUGAAGCUACACCUUUCUCAGCCCCGAGAAGAGCCAGGACAGGCAUCAGCCA